AUGACAUCCCCAGCAGUGCGUUUUCCUCAGGUACAUUACUGUUUACUUAACCAAUUUAGUUCAAUUACUCUUAAAAAUAUGGGCCAACAACAAAAGUAAAUGACAUUUAAAACUAUGAAGAAAGAAAUAAAAUGUAAUUAGUAAGUAAUUAUAAUAACAAACAGUCUGAGGGAACAGUUCGUUUUUCUGAGGGUUAUAAUACUAAAAUAAAUAGCAGGCUUUUUCACUCAUGAAACCAAUUACAUUUAAUAACAAUGGGACUUUUCUAAAUUUGCCCUUUCCAGUAAAUGUAUCACAUCUCACACAGACAACGGUUUUCCGUCUUUUCAUAUAACGUUAGUCUGCUCAGCAGCGCCGUUAAACACCGUUAAAUGCUGUUACAUCGCUGUGACGUCACUGCUAAUGGAGCCAAUCCGGUCCGUUUGAGAGACGCUCUUUCGUUUCAGAGUUAUCGGUCAUGUUAACGUUACUUUAAAAAGAGACCAAUUAUACAAUUAUUCUUAAUAUCUUCAUUACUCAUAUUUGUAUGGGAAGUAGUGCAUCGUCACAGGUUUGACUGCAAGCGCGUGCACCUAGAGAGAGAGACGAGACACCUUUAUAGAUUAACGUUAGAUGAAAUCGGUCAUCCCUCAUUUUGUAACAACCAUAAUAAUACUUGUUGUUGUUGUGAUUCUCAAGAAUGAAAACGCAUUUUACUUUAGCUUAUUUGUUAGUGGGCUGUAAGGUCUCAUCAAAUACAUUGCAUUCUUCUCAUCUUGCAUUAUCAGACAAUAUUACACAUAUUCAUCAGAGCCUUUAUAAACUUUGGGAAUUUAUAGACUACCAUGCAAAUAAUUAUUAUCUUCUCUCUUUUUUUCCAGUGUCGAUUGCCGUCUGAUUGUUCAGCUACAUACACCACAAAGGCUCUUUUAAGAGCCACAUCUCGAGAGCGUCUUUGGCUUUCAGCUACAUACACCACAAAGGCUCUUUUAAGA